GGGCUUAACAUCUUUUAGCCUAUCUGUAGAGGAUAUCAGAGGGCAAAGUUUCUGUCAUGAAAUAGGACUAAUCAACUUAGUUGAAUUUGUAUUUAAAGCAAGGUUAAACUGAAUUAAGACCAUUUUUGAAAGAAUUGUCAGAUGUACCUUUCAACCCGCAGCCAGAGAAGCUUCUGCAGUUGAAGGCCAGAAAGUCUUUGUAUGGUUCUUCCAUCUGCAAUAUCAAAGACAAGAAGUCUUCAUAGAGGAUGGCCUCCUUUGGGGAUUCCAAAGUAAGACAAUCUCAUCUCCUUUUGGUGAUUCAUCUCCACGGCUUUUCCUAAAGAACUCCAUUAGUGGCGAGAGAUAUUGAAGACAAACCCGGUGAUGGCUGUGAACCCUUUAUUGACACCAACAGGGCAGCAGACAAUCCCACUGAUCCCCUCACCAUUUGGGCCUCCAACUGUGGACAGAGAUGUAUUGCCUUCCACCGUAGCUCCAACUGACCCAAGACAGUUUUGCGUUCCUUCCCAAUUUGGAUCCUCUGUUCUACCAAACACAAAUAUGGCAAAUGUGUUGUCCAGUCGGAUCUACCCAGGUUGGGGCAUUUUACCACCUGAAUCCAUAAAGGCAGUGGCCAGAAGGAAUGAAAUGAUUCAACGGCAUCAUACUGCCAGGGUUUGAAAACCUCUUCCCAGUACUUUAGGUUUUUUGAGGAUUAAUCUCUGGCAAGGAACUAGCUGUGCUGCGUAAGCCCCAUCCCUGCUAAAUUUGCCUCGUCUGUUUAAAGGACAGAAAUGGAAAUGUAUGCUAUUUACCAGCAAAGGAGAAUGGAAAAAAUUAAUCCCAAGGGACUAGCAGGCCUAGGGAUACCCUUCCUCUAUGGCUCCAGUGUCCCAGCUGCCCCCGCUGCCUACCAUGGCAGGAGCAUGCUCCCUGCCGGUGACCUGCAUUUUCACAGAAGCACCCUCAGAAACCUUCAGGGAAACCCCAUGCUAGCGGCAACUGCACCACACUUUGAGGAGAGCUGGGGGCAGAGAUGUCGUCGACUCAGGAAAAAUACAGGGAAUCAAAAAGCUCUAGACAGUGAUGCUGAGAGUUCCAAAAGUCAAGCAGAAGAAAAAAUCCUAGGUCAGACUCAUGCAGUUCCCUAUGAAGAGGAUCAUUAUGCAAAAGACCCAGACAUUGAAGCACCCAGCAACCAGAAGUCAAGUGAAACGAAUGAAAAGCCAACGACAGCUCUUGCCAACACCUGUGGAGAGCUCGAGCCCACCCAUAGGAAACCCUGGGGGUCUCACACCACUACCCUGAAAGCAAAGGCCUGGGACGAUGGGAAAGAGGAGGCUUCGGAGCAGAUUUUUGCAACCUGUGAUGAAAAGAAUGGGGUUUGCCCUCCAGUUCCUCGACCAUCUCUGCCAGGAACACAUGCACUGGUUACAAUUGGGGGGAAUCUUUCUUUGGAUGAAGAUAUUCAGAAGUGGACCGUGGAUGAUGUGCACAGCUUCAUUCGCAGCCUUCCAGGUUGUUCAGACUAUGCUCAGGUAUUUAAAGAUCAUGCAAUUGAUGGAGAAACUUUGCCAUUACUCACAGAAGAGCAUCUUCGAGGCACUAUGGGAUUAAAGCUAGGGCCGGCACUAAAAAUUCAGUCACAGGUAUCUCAGCAUGUGGGAAGUAUGUUCUACAAGAAAACUCUUUCAUUUCCUAUAAGACAAGCAUUUGAUCAACCAGCAGAUACAUCCCCUCUUCUGGAUCCUAAUUCCUGGAGUGAUACAAUGAACAUUUUUUGUCCCCAGGAUACAAUAAUUCCUAAAGGAAUUGAGCGAGGUAGUAUGAGAAACUAAAAGCCCUCAAGGAGGAAGAAUAGUCUUAGCCAGUUUUCCAAAGAGCCUAGGAUAUUACAAAGGAUGUGUGAGGAUUUCCCAGUACUGGAUGGAGAAUGAGAAGAGAAAGUCAGCCUUUCUGGGGCUUUCAUGGAGGAGACUUGCCCAAGGGGCUUCCCUGCCAGGGCUGAAUGACCCCAGCACCAAAUGACUGGAGACGCAUCCUUAGGAGCAAAUGCUAAUGAAGGGGAGAUUUACAAACAUCAAGAAAGCUGCAGAUGGAUGUUUCCAUGAAGAAAUCUCUGAAGAAACCAAAAGAGCUGAAACUGAAAAAAGAGCUCCCUCCCUUUUUUCACUCAUUUUCCAUUCCCAAACCCUGAAAGAGAUAAAGGCAACCCAAUGAAACCACAGAGAGGCAGAAGAGAACGGGCAGAAGUACAGAACAGAAAUGGAGAAGCUGACCACGACUCCAUCUCUUCUCAUUCCAGAUUUCCAGCGUGAAGCAGGCCCAAGCUAGGGAAGGUGAGAAGCUUUAACCUUAAAUUUUCGAGUUUUGGCCAGGCGCGGUGGCUCACGGCUGUAAUCCCAACACUUUGGGAGUCUGAGGCGGGCGGAUCAUGAGGUCAGGAGAUUAAGACCAGCUUGGCCAACAUGGUGAAACCCCGUCUCUACUAAAAAUACAAAAAAAAA